GACGAACGCUGGCGGCGUGCUUAACACAUGCAAGUCGAACGAGAAUCUACGGAUCGAGGAUUCGUCCAAGUGAAGUAGAGGACAGUGGCGGACGGGUGAGUAACGCGUGAGGAACCUGCCUUUCAGAGGGGGACAACAGUUGGAAACGACUGCUAAUACCGCAUGACACAUUGGGGUCGCAUGGCCUUGAUGUCAAAGAUUUAUCGCUGAAAGAUGGCCUCGCGUCUGAUUAGCUAGUUGGUGAGGUAACGGCCCACCAAGGCGACGAUCAGUAGCCGGACUGAGAGUUGAACGGCCACAUUGGGACUGAGACACGGCCCAGACUCCUACGGGAGGCAGCAGUGGGGGAUAUUGCACAAUGGGGGAAACCCUGAUGCAGCGACGCCGCGUGGAGGAAGAAGGUUUUCGGAUUGUAAACUCCUGUCGUUAGGGACGAUAAUGACGGUACCUAACGAAGAAAG
rnacentral:rRNA from 1 species